rfam:Triticum urartu cultivar G1812 contig92493, whole genome shotgun sequence.
UUCGUACUCCCUCCGUUCGAAAAUACUUGUCAUCAAAAUGGAUAAAAGGGAUGUAUGUAGAUGCAUUUUAGUUCUAGAUACACCUCUUUUUAUUCAUUUUGAUGACAAAUAUUUCUGGACGGAGAGAGUACGUA